CUGCUACUGAGGAGUCCCGCAAUAGAACGAAACGGUCGUCCAGUGG
rnacentral:hammerhead_ribozyme from 1 species